rnacentral:misc_RNA from 1 species
GAUGAAGAACGUAGCGAAAUGCGAUAAGUAAUGUGAAUUGCAGAAUUCAGUGAAUCAUCGAAUCUUUGAACGCACCUUGCGCCCUUUGGCCAUUCCGAAGGGCAUGCCUGUUUGAGUAUCAUGAACACCUCAACUCUCAUGGCUCGCCAUGAUGAGCUUGGAUUUGGGGGUCUUGCUGGCCUGUGGUCGGCUCCUCUCAAAUGGAUCAGCUUGCCAGUGUUUGGUGGCAUCACAGGUGUGAUAACUAUCUGCGCUUGUGGUUUUCCAUCAGAUAACCUUCAGUGAUGGAGGUUCGCUGGAGCUCAUAAACGUCUCUCCUAAGCGGGGACAGCCCUUUGAAUGUUUGAUCUCAAAUCAGGUAGGACUACCCGCUGAACUUAAGCAUAUCAAUAAGCGGAGGA